CUUGACCGCCUAGGUCGGUUUCCUCCCCAAACCGACAUCACCACCGCCUAUAAAACCCAACUCGAGCCCCUCCCUUUCCUCCUCGUUUCCUUGCCCAACCUCCACCGCGCCAUUGCCGCCGGACCAUCUCUGCCGCUCGCCGACCUCGCCUCCCUCCGCCGUCGCACGUGCUGGUGAAGCUGGUGUGUGCGACGACACGUGACGCGGGACUACGGGCACCCUCUCCUUCCCCUUCCCCGGCCCGAGUCCGGAGAGCUCGCCCCGCGCCGUCGGUCGCCCAUCACAGCGCCCGUCUCGACUCGUGCUAACCCCGGGCUUGUCGGACUGGAAUCCUUUGAAGAAUGAAUCCCCAAUGACUGUGCUAGAUCCACCAUGCCAUUCAGUGUUGCAGGUCAUGAUGCUUCGAGCUCGUGAUUGGUCUGUGUCAGCGUAAUGGAUACAUUCAGUUAUCAUAUUUCCUCUAAAAUAUUCGUGUUUUCGUUCAUUAGAUUUACUUUGUUAGAUUUGGCGGUUUGGCAAUGAUGAAACAAACUUUCAGCUUACCAUGCCAGUUCUGCUUCUGAGAAUUCAUGACAGAUAAAGCUGAUAUAGAUCUGAACUGAAUGUUUUCAUUUGCAUUA